GGGGCUGUAGCUCAGUUGGUAGAGCAUUUGCCUUGCAUGUAUGAGGCACUGGGUUAAAUCCUCAGCACCA
rnacentral:tRNA from 1 species